CCUACGGGGGGCAGCAGUAGGGAAUCUUUCACAAUGGGCGAAAGCCUGAUGGAGCAACGCCGCGUGCAGGAUGAAGGCCUUCGGGUUGUAAACUGCUUUUAUAAGCGAGAAAUAUGAUGGUAACUUAUGAAUAAGGAUCGGCUAACUACGUGCCAGCAGCCGCGGUCAUACGUAGGAUCCGAGCAUUAUCCGGAGUGACUGGGUGUAAAGAGUUGCGUAGGUGGCAUAAUAAGUAGCUAGUGAAAUCUGGUGGCUCAACCAUUCAGACUAUUAGCUAAACUGUUAAGCUCGAGACCGUUAGAGGUAAGUGGAAUUUCUAGUGUAGGAGUGAAAUCCGUAGAUAUUAGAAGGAACACCAAUAGCGUAGGCAGGUUGCUGGGACGGUUCUGACACUAAGGCACGAAAGCGUAGGGAGCAAACGGGAUUAGAUACCCGUGUAGUC
rnacentral:rRNA from 1 species